AGUACAUUCUGUUUUUGACGUUUCAGCUUUCACUCUCCUUCCUCAAAAUGUCAGCGAUUUCCGAUCAAGAGAUCCACCGCGCCGGAGACCUAAACGCACUCCAAUCUCCAUCAACCAAUGCAUUCCCGCCUCCCUCUAUUAUCCUCCCAUUCUACUUCUCAUCGCCUCUAAACCUCCAAUGAAACUUUCUUUUCCAAUCUCCACUGACUUCCACUGUCACUGA